AUUGAACGCUGGCGGCAUGCUUUACACAUGCAAGUCGAACGGUAACAGGGAGCUUGCUCCGCUGACGAGUGGCGAACGAGUGAGUAAUGCGUCGGAACGUGCCGAGUAGUGGGGGAUAACGCAGCGAAAGUUGUGCUAAUACCGCAUACGUACUGAGGUAGAUAGUGGGGGACCUUCGGGCCUCACGCUAUUCGAGCGGCCGACGUCUGAUUAGCUAGUAGGUGAGGUAAAGGCUCACCUAGGCGACGAUCAGUAGCGGGUCUGAGAGGAUUAUCCGCCACGCUGGGACUGAGACACGGCCCAGACUCCUACGGGAGGCAGCAGUGGGGAAUUUUGGACAAUGGGCGAAAGCCUGAUCCAGCCAUGCCGCGUGUCUGAAGAAGGCCUUCGGGUUGUAAAGGACUUUUGUCGGGGAGGAAAUCCCCAGCGUUAAUACCGCUGGGGGAUGACAGUACCUGAAGAAUAAGCACCGGCUAACUACGUGCCAGCCGCCGCGGUAA
rnacentral:rRNA from 1 species